rnacentral:ncRNA from 12 species
CGUCAUUGAGGGCAAAAAGGCUCUUGUCACACCUCUCUAUAGCCCAUAGAGAGGUAUCUGAGAUGUUGGGUACGCCGUCCAACCAUUGACC